rnacentral:rRNA from 1 species
GACGAACGCUGGCGGCGUGCUUAACACAUGCAAGUCGAACGGAAAGGCCCUGCUUUUGUGGGGUGCUCGAGUGGCGAACGGGUGAGUAACACGUGAGUAACCUGCCCCUGACUUUGGGAUAACUUCAGGAAACUGGGGCUAAUACCGGAUAGGAGCUCCUGCUGCAUGGUGGGGGUUGGAAAGUUUCGGCGGUUGGGGAUGGACUCGCGGCUUAUCAGCUUGUUGGUGGGGUAGUGGCUUACCAAGGCUUUGACGGGUAGCCGGCCUGAGAGGGUGACCGGCCACAUUGGGACUGCGAUACGGCCCAGACUCCUACGGGAGGCAGCAGUGGGGAAUAUUGCACAAUGGGCGGAAGCCUGAUGCAGCAACGCCGCGUGCGGGAUGACGGCCUUCGGGUUGUAAACCGCUUUCGCCUGUGACGAAGCGUGAGUGACGGUAAUGGGUAAAGAAGCACCGGCUAACUACGUG